GACGAACGCUGGCGGCGUGCUUAACACAUGCAAUUCGAACGAUGAAGCCGGAGCUUGCUCUGGUGAAUUAGUGGCGAACGGGUGAGUAACACGUGAGUAACCUGCCCUUGACUCUGGGAUAACUGCUAGAAAUGGUAGCUAAUACCGGAUACGACCCUAGGAGGCAUCUUCAGGGGGUGGAAAGAAUUUCGGUCAAGGAUGGACUCGCGGCCUAUCAGCUAGUUGGUGAGGUAAUGGCUCACCAAGGCGACGACGGGUAGCCGGCCUGAGAGGGUGACCGGCCACCCUGGGACUGAGACACGGCCCAGACUCCUACGGGAGGCAGCAGUGGAGAAUAUUGCACAAUGGGCGCAAGCCUGAUGCAGCAACGCCGCGUGAGGGAUGACGGCCUUCGGGUUGUAAACCUCUUUUAGUAGGGAAGAAGCGAAAGUGACGGUACCUGCAGAAAAAGCACCGGCUAACUACGUGCAAGCAGCCGCCGUAA
rnacentral:rRNA from 1 species